CCUACGGGAGGCAGCAGUGGGGAAUAUUGCGCAAUGGGGGAAACCCUGACGCAGCGACGCCGUGUGAGUGAUGAAGGUUUUCGGAUCGUAAAGCUCUGUCAGGUGGGAAGAAUAAGGUCUGUGAAAAUAUUGCAGUCCGAUGACGGUACCACCAGAGGAAGCACCGGCUAACUCCGUGCCAGCAGCCGCGGUAAUACGGAGGGUGCAAGCGUUGUUCGGAAUUAUUGGGCGUAAAGGGCGUGCAGGCGGGUAUGCAGGUCAGGUGUGAAAUCCCUCGGCUCAACCGAGGAAGUGCAUCUGAAACCGUGUAUCUUGAGUACGAGAGAGGCAGAUGGAAUUCCCAGUGUAGAGGUGAAAUUCAUAGAUAUUGGGAAGAACACCGGUGGCGAAAGCGGUCUGCUGGCUCGAUACUGACGCUGAGACGCGAAAGCGUGGGGAGCAAACAGGAUUAGAUACCCUGGUAGUCCACGCCGUAAACGAUGUGCACUAGGUGUUGGGGGUAAUUAAACCUUCAGUGCCGCAGCUAACGCAUUAAGUGCACCGCCUGGGGAUUACGGUCGCAAGACUAAAACUCAAAGGAAUUGACGG
rnacentral:rRNA from 1 species